AUGGAAGGCAGAGGGAUUAGGGUGGAGGUGUGUGGAGAGCCGGGGGACUUCAGCAUCCUGUCAGACUUCGGGACCUGCCCCUUGUUGUUAACCCUUCCUACUCCAAAAGGGGGAAACCAACCCUCUUUCCCUGACAAAAUCAUCUCCCUCCCUGCCCAGGGCUGCUGCUCCCCCACCAGGGAAGGGGCACAGACCUGUCCAAGGGGAAGAGGUAAAGAUCUCAUCUGGCACCACCCUCUGUCCCUCUGCCUCAGGGAGGGAGAGGAACACCCCAUCUCUCCCCCCAGGGACUCUCCAGGGCAUCUCCAUUCCCUUCCCUUGGCCUUCUUCCCCUUUCCUGCCUUCCCUUCACAUCAUCCAGCACUUCAGCCCCUACUUCCACACCUUCAAACCUUUUGCAUCCCUAAAAAACUCCUGGGAGAAGGAGAAAAGAAAGGAAAAUCUCCGUUUAGCCGAGCUGAGCUGCAAAGCCUGGCAGUGGAGGAACGCAGCAGAGCAGCCUCUCAUCCCCAGCCAGCACUGCAGCAUCGCUGGCCAAAGGCAUCUGUGACAUCUCCAGUUAAACGGGGACGGGAGCAAAGGGGCAGCUGGGGCCUGAAAUGCAGCGUUUCAGCCGACAGGCGGCUAUGCUGGAUUAGCACCGUGCAUGCUCCGAAUGGAAAUCUCUUCCUUUCCCUCGGCAGCAUUUUGGGAGUUUGUUUUCCUUCAGGAAGGCUUCCCUGUUCCUCAGAGUCAAACCGAGAUUUCUUCCCUGUUUCUGUAGAUUGUCUCUCUCCAACCAUCACAGGUGUCUGCAGGAGAGGGGAAAGCAUUCAAGGGAGCCAGAGAGUGCCUGGCAAAAGGAGCCCAAACCGAAACCUGACCCUAAACCAAACCCUAAACCGAACUCAAACGCUAAUACUAACGCUUAUCCUAAUCUUAACCCUAACUGUAACAUUAGCCCUAAAACUAACCCUAAAUGUAACCCUAAACAUAACUCUAAACUUAACCCUAAUACUAACU
rnacentral:lncRNA from 1 species